UCCCUGAAGGGUCGUCGAAGACUACGACGUUGAUAGGCGGGGUGUGUAAGUGCAGUAAUGCAUUAAGCUAACCCGUACUAAUAGCCCGUGAGGCUUGAUCAU
rnacentral:rRNA from 1 species